UACGUAGGGCGCAAGCGUUGUCCGGAAUUAUUGGGCGUAAAGGGCUCGUAGGCGGUUUGUCGCGUCGGGAGUGAAAACACCGGGCUUAACUCGGUGCUUGCUUUCGAUACGGGCAGACUAGAGGCAUGCAGGGGAGAACGGAAUUCCUGGUGUAGCGGUGAAAUGCGCAGAUAUCAGGAGGAACACCGGUGGCGAAGGCGGUUCUCUGGGCAUGUCCUGACGCUGAGGAGCGAAAGUGUGGGGAGCGAACAGG
rnacentral:rRNA from 1 species